GCAGGCGCGAAACCUUUACACUGCACGACAGUGCGAUAGGGGGAUCCCAAGUGCACAGGCAUAGCGCCUGUGCUUUUCGGUACCCUAAGGCGGUACCAGAAUAAGGGCUGGGCAAAACCGGUGCCAGCCGCCGCGGUAAUACCGGCAGCCCAAGUGAUGGCCGAUCUUAUUGGGCCUAAAGCGUCCGUAGCUGGCCGUACAAGUCCAUCGGGAAAUCCACCUGCUCAACAGGUGGGCGCCCGGUAGAAACUGUGCGGCUUGGGGCCGGAAGGCGCGACGGGUACGUCCGGGGUAGGAGUGAAAUCCCGUAAUCCUGGACGGACCGCCGAUGGCGAAAGCACGUCGCGAGAACGGAUCCGACAGUGAGGGACGAAAGCCAGGGUCUCGAACCGGAUUAGAUACCCGGGUAGUCCUGGCCGUAAACAAUGUCUGCUAGGUGUGGCUCCCACUACGAGUGGGUGCUGUGCCGUAGGGAAGCCGCUAAGCAGACCGCCUGGGAAGUACGUCCGCAAGGAUGAAACUUAAAGGAAUUGGCGGGGGAGCACUACAACCGGAGGAGCCUGCGGUUUAAUUGGAUUCAACGCCGG
rnacentral:rRNA from 1 species